rnacentral:tRNA from 1 species
AGGAGAGUAGUUUAACGGCAGAACGACGGUCUCCAAAACCGUAGGUCACAGUUCGAUCCUGUGCUUUCCUGCCA